CAGACCAGGGGCAGAGCAGUCUGGGAGGAGGGUUGGAGGCCAGCAAAGACUCCUGGCAGGGUAAGAGAUGGAAGUGAAGUCAUGGACAAAGGCUGGGACACAGGAGGGCAAGGUGUGUCAGUGACACCCUGCAGGGACUUUUGGGAGGCCACAGGAGUUCAAGGCGAUCAGUAAGCUUUUAUUCUCCUGCAACCACUGGGUGUCUGGUAUCUGGCUGCAUUCCCCCAUGAUGCAGCUCGUUCUUUGGGAAACCCUUAAGAACUGGUGGGUGGUGGAGGGGCUGGAGAGAUGGCUCAGUGAUUAAGGCUACCGACCUCUCUCCUACAGGGACCUGGGUUUACUUCCCAGCACCCGGUGGCUCACGAUUGUCUAUAAUUACAGUUCCAGAGGACCUUCUGGCCUCUGUAGGCAUCUGCAUGGUGCACGUAUAUAAGCGCUGACAAACAGAAACAGAAAAUAAAUAAAUAAACGUUAAGAAUUGACUUGUGUAGCUGUGCACAUUUUUUUUCUUUUUUUCAGAGCUGGGGACCGAACCCAGGGCCUUGCGCUUGCUAGGCAAGCACUCUACCACUGAGCUAAAUCCCCAACCCCAGCUGUGCACAUCUUUAAUCCCAGCACUGGAGAGGCAGAUCUCUGAUCUCAAGGCCAGCCUGGUCUACAGGGUGAGUUCCAAGAUAGCCAGGGCUAUAGAAAGACUCUGUCUCGAACAACAACAGCAACAACAACAACAACAACAAAACAAAACAAAACAAAACAGUCUAGGAGCCCACCCAGAGCUGGGCAUGGUGACACAGUCCUGAAAAUCAGGCAUUCAGAAGUGGCAGGAAGAUCAGGCAGUCUAGACGAGCCUGGCAUAAAAAGGCAGAGACCUUUUCUAAAACCAGAAAGAAAAGAAAAAGCCAACAGCAAUAACACCAAACAAACAAAACAAAAACCCGCAAAGUAGAUUUGCCCAGCUGGGUCUCACCCUGUGGGAGAGCUGGCAAACACAUCUACAAGGCACAGUGGAGGUGAGAUGGCACGGACUCUCCACAGGGGGCGCUCACACGCCUUUGUGAACGUCUCCACUCGAGGCAGCCCAGCCAGGGACACAGCCCGCAGCCCUGCCCUUCCACGUAGGCCGCCACACCUGCCUCCGUUCAGACACCAGCCCUGCCCUUCCUCCCCCAACCCUCUCGCCUGUAAAUAUUUAAACAGCGUAGGAGAACUGAUCUCCAGAGAGAGCCGGGGCAAGCUGGGAAGCUCUCCCAAGCCAGAGGGCUGCUGUUCCUGGGCCCACUGCUGCCCGGCUUGAUGACCACAGCGUGUCCACGCCCUCCCACAACCCACCUGGAGCUCUGCCAGGUUCCAAAUGGAUGCCCAGGUUAUGUUGAAGUCUUUGACUUGGGUGGGACCUGUUGCCCCAGCCCACAGAACUUGGCUAAACAUUCCAGAAUCUGCAGUCAAAAUGCCUUCCCCCAGGAGGCUGCACAGAGCUGCACCAAAUCGACACAGGCCUUCUAGGGGCAGAGAUAGAACAGGGGUUUGCUGAAUGAGGAUCCUGAGCCCCUGUCUACACGGCAGGUGCUCAUAUGUGAUGGUGACCACCCUGAGGCUGUCGCCACCAUAAUGUCAGGCACCUAGGCUUAGGUAGUUCCCAGAAUUGUCCCCAGCCCCUGUCCUUCCCGAUGGGGCUUGUAUGUCAAAGACCAAAGUCAGCAAGGGCUAGGGGGAAAAAAAGGCUUUCUGGAUGUGGGGAGAAUGGCCAGACUUAGCACAGGAUAGCCCCGCCCACGCAGAUUUCAGAUGCAGGGGGAUGGUGUUAGUGAAAGCGCAUCUCGGACAUUAUAGGGAGCGUUGCGGGGUGUUCUGAGUUUUUAUUUGGGAAACCUGGGGCGCUGACUUUAAGGCCACAGUCAAGGUCAUGUGGCUUCUUUUACUUUGGUGUUUACAAACCUUUAAAAGUUUUAAAACUGGGCUGGAGAGAUGGCUCAGCAGUUAAGAGCACUGACUGCUCUUCCAGAGGUCCUGAGUUCAAGUUCCAGCAACCACACGGUGGCUCACAACUAUAAUGGAAUCCGAUGCCCUCUUCUAGUGUGUCUGAAGACAGUGACGGUGUACUCACAUAUAUAAAAUAAACAAAUCUUUAAAAACAAGUGUUAAAACAAAUGGCUUGCCUUAACAGUGGACACACAUAAUGGACUUGGUCCAUAGGGUCCCCUGGUUGGAGGUACACACUACACAGGCCUGCAUAGAGGUCCCCGGGGGUAUUGCUUAUCCCCUGGGCCCAGCUAAGCCCCCUCUAGCUCCAGCUGGCACCGACCUCCGGCAGCCGAAACCUAGGCUGGUGAGUGAUGGAGCCAAGAGGCUGUGUCUGGGCUGGAGUCUCUGGGCACCAGGCCUGCUACCUUCCAGAGGAGGAUGCUAUGGUGAACACCUAAGGGCUUUGCAGGGCGGCUUUAAAAAUAGCCCUUGUCAGAGGAGUAUGAGGAAGGAGGGGUGACCCAGCAUCCACUGAACUAUCAGGGUGACAGACGGGAGGUACUACAAUUCUGCUUGACUCAAAGGCACGUCCCGGAGCUGAGGAGACGGCUCAGCAGGUAAAAUGGCCUGGGUUUGGAUCCCAGGAACCCAACAGCGCGAGUGAGCACUGUUCUCUGAAGUGAUAAAACUGGGUCUAAGAGACCUGAGAGGGAGGUCAGAGAGGGCUUCCUGGAGGUAGCAAAGCCCCACAAUCUGAAAGACAAGCCAAAACUACUACUGUAGGCCUCGGUUUCCCCAGCUGUAAAGCAGGGAGAAGAAUCUGCCUGUAUCUGUCUCCACAGAGCUCCAGGAAGGGAGGGGCAGGUGCAAAGAUCCCGUGGCGGUUUCUAAUUUGCUAUGGGAAAGGAGAGUUCCUGAGCGGGGGAUGGGGGUGGGGUCGGGGAACAUGGGGAUAUUUUGAGAGGCUCUGCUCCCCCAAUCCCCAGCCCCCAGUCACAAGCAGACCUGGAGGAAGGAGGGGGAGGCUUGCUCCAAGCUGCUGUUUCCAUGCUGGCUCCAGCUUCGUCUGCCUCCCCCACACCCCGCCCCUUCAUGGGUGUCACCCCCUCCUGCAAGAGCCAGAGGACAGGGGACUCCCACCGCCUGACCUCUGCCUAUGCAUCCUUCUCCAUGCCAAUCACCUCCGGCUUCUCUCCCACUCUGAACCCCUGCUCACAGGGCAAAUGCCUGUUAGAAGCCAGCUAGAGGGUGAGCUCAAGUUCUAUGCAAAUUAUAUUCAAAUGAAGGGAUUUGAGUAUUUACGCAUUUGAGCAUCUCAAGGGCGUCCCCACCACUUCUCUCGGAAAUCCCAAGAGCACUGCGCUGAAAGCUUUUCCCAGGCUGCCUUCAGGGUGUUUUAAGUAGCAACCCGAAAUGGCCACCUGUGGGGCACUCAGCUUGGCAGCCAUGGCGGUCCAAAGCCUGCAUUAUCUGUCCAUGCUGGGCCAGGCACACAGUAAACUGUCUUGUUCACCCCUUCUCUUCCUCAUUCAUUCAUUCGUUCGUUCGUUCGUUCAUUCAUUCACUCAACAGCUGCCUAUAGGCACUUGCUACAUACAAGUUGGUGUGACACACAUGAGCCCAAAGAUCCAUGGUAACCUUGCAUCAUGGGUGUCACUGUUCCGUCUUCCCUGCCAGACUGGAGCCUGUGAGAAGAUCGGGACUUGAAUCAAGGCUGGGGAGCCCCAGGCUGUCUCAGGUGGAGCCCCCCCCCCCCCCCCGGCAGCAGGGUCCAGGCAGCUUGCUCACUUGGCCCCUGAAACUGAACAUCAGCAUCAGGGUCACCGACGGUUCCUGGCUCUCCAGCCUUUAUUCAGCUUCCGUGGGUCACCUCUCCCUGCUCGCCUGGCACACACUGGCUCCCUGGGAGAAUCGUGCUCGCAAAGGAACGUGCGUUUCUCAUAUGCCAAUUACCAGUACGAGGAAGGCGGUGCUCAAAGGCAAUGCGGACUGCGGACUACGGCAUUCUGGAGCAGGCUUGACCAAUCACAGCGACCUGCCCCACUGUGGUGGGCACAAAAGGAUCGCGUCAUUUAGGCCGGACCAGACCCAAAGCCAAUUUCCUGUGACGUCAGUGCUGUGACUGAGGACGUUACAGAGCCAAAGAACGCGGCGAAAUGCAACCCACAGCGAUGGAAGGGGCCUGAGGACAUCACCGGAACCGCGGGAUGUAGCUGUCCCUAAACCCGCCCACCCCAAACCUCCCAGACACUUGAACUGAGACAUCUAUUAGCCCCUUCGCUUUGUAGACUUAGUUUUCUGGCUGUUUUUAAUUAGGACUGAUUGAAGCUGAAACGAACAGUAGACAGACCGUGCUCUGCUGCUUUUUGACUGUGUGAGCUUCUCUGUGUUUAUUAACCUCUCUGGCCUUCAGUCUCCUUGUCGGGAGGGGACCAGCUGCCUGGUCCACUGGAGGACUGCUUUGUUAUUAAAUGAGAAACGGAAAAGCA